rnacentral:rRNA from 1 species
GACGAACGCUGGCGGUGUGCUUAACACAUGCAAGUCGAACGGUAAGGCCCUUUCGGGGGUACACGAGUGGCGGACGGGUGAGUAACACGUGAGUAACCUGCCCUCAUCUCUGGGAUAACAGUCGGAAACGGUUGCUAAUACUGGAUAUGAGCUUGCAAGGCAUCUUGUGGGUUGGAAAGAUUUUUUUUGGUUGGGGAUGGACUCGCGGCCUAUCAGCUUGUUGGUGAGGUAGUGGCUCACCAAGGCUUCGACGGGUAGCCGGCCGGAGAGGGCGACCGGCCACAGUGGGACUGAGAUACGGCCCAAACUCCUACGGGAGGCAGCAGUGGGGAAUAUUGCACAAUGGACGGAAGUCUGAUGCAGCAACGCCGCGUGCGGGAUGACGGCCUUCGGGUUGUAAACCGCUUUCAAUUGUGACGAAGCUUUUUUGUGACGGUAGCAGUAGAAGAAGCACCGGCUAACUACGUG